rnacentral:rRNA from 1 species
GACAAACGCUGGCGGCGUGCCUAACACAUGCAAGUCGAACGGGUAAAGAGCUUCGGUUUUUACUUAGUGGCGAACGGGUGAGUAACGCGUGAGGAACCUGCCUUUCAGUGGGGGACAACAGUUGGAAACUCCUGCUAAUACCCCAUAUGAGCUUGGUUGAAAUACCAAUCUUGAAAGUUCCGGCGCCCUAAGAUGAGCCUGCACCUGAUUAGCUAGUUGGUGGUGUAAUGGACUACCAAGGCGAUGAUCAGUAGCUGGUUUGAGAGGAUGAUCAGCCACAAUGGGACUGAGACACGGCCCAU